GAUCAUGGCUCAGGAUGAACGCUAGCUACAGGCUUAACACAUGCAAGUCGAGGGGAAACGGACAUCGAAAGCUUGCUUUUGUAUGGGCGGUCGACCGGCGCACGGGUGAGUAACGCGUAUCCAACCUGCCCAUCACUUGGGAAUAACCUUGCGAAAGUAAGACUAAUGCCCAAUGAUAUCCCACGAAGGCAUCCGAAUGGGAUUAAAGAUUUAUCGGUGAUGGAUGGGGAUGCGU
rnacentral:rRNA from 1 species